AAAACCAGAGGGGGAAGUGUGGGAGAGGUGGGCUGGGCAGUGGCAAAAACCUCAUGACACAUUUCUCCGCCUCCCGGAGUUGGUGGAGAACGUCUGGAGCAGCAUUUAAAUACUGGGAGGUUAGGGUUGUCAGCAGCAGGAAGAGGAGCCAGAGAGCACAGCAUCUUCUGGCACUGGUCUCUCAGGUCAUUCUCAGCCUUCUCCACCGGACACCAGCCAAGGUAAGCCUGCAGCUGGCUACUGUGCCAUGGUGUGU
rnacentral:lncRNA from 1 species